rnacentral:rRNA from 1 species
GAUGAACGCUGGCGGCGUGCCUAAUACAUGCAAGUCGAGCGAACGGACGAGAAGCUUGCUUCUCUGAUGUUAGCGGCGGACGGGUGAGUAACACGUGGAUAACCUACCUAUAAGACUGGGAUAACUUCGGGAAACCGGAGCUAAUACCGGAUAAUAUUUUGAACCGCAUGGUUCAAAAGUGAAAGACGGUCUUGCUGUCACUUAUAGAUGGAUCCGCGCUGCAUUAGCUAGUUGGUAAGGUAACGGCUUACCAAGGCAACGAUGCAUAGCCGACCUGAGAGGGGGAUCCGCCACACUGGAACUGAGGCCCCGGCCCGACUCCUACGGGGAGCAGCAGUAGGGAAUCUUCCGCAAUGGGCGAAAGCCUGACGGAGCAACGCCGCGUGAGUGAUGAAGGUCUUCGGAUCGUAAAACUCUGUUAUUAGGGAAGAACAUAUGUGUAAGUAACUGUGCACAUCUUGACGGUACCUAAUCAGAAAGCCACGGCUAACUACGUG